AAGUCGUAACAAGGUUUCCGUAGGUGAACCUGCGGAAGGAUCAUUAACACGUAUCCACGUUUUAUAACAAAAAUACUAUCAACAACCACGCCGAACUGAACUCCCUGCUGCAUCACUCUGCGGUGUCGUACCCCUGUCUUGGUGGGUCCCAGUAAACAUGUAGUUGUUCGAGACUUGUGUUAAGCUGAAGGCUGGCAGGCAUCGACUAUCACACUUCGACUGUGAGCCAAAGGAAUUUGCAGCAGGCUUACUGACUCUACUCUCGCGUGUAAAUAUUACAAUCCUUACCAUCAUAAGGCCGAGUUUAGAACCCCAUACCAAUUUCACCCUUCUUUACCCAUUUGGCUAAUUUUUAUAUUCUUGGGAGAAAUCCUUUGAAUUACUAAGAUUUAUCUUAACUAAGCACAACUCUUAGCAAUGGAUAUCUUGGUUCUC
rnacentral:misc_RNA from 1 species